AGAAACCGAGGGGCCGUUGGUGGAGGGUGGCCUCUGCAAAGUGGCCUGAUCGGAUUCCAGAGCUUCUAGGUCAUUGAGCAGGAUCGCGACUGGCCGGAGCCACGCUACUCCCUCCUGACCUUGAAAGUUCCCAAGAAAGCUGCCAGAAGAUGUCAGGCAGCCGUUUGGAGCAAAGUGGGAUUCAAAAGAUACUUGAUGUAUUGACGGCAAACUAGAGAGAGACAGCCAGCGAGAGAGGGAACACAGCAGGGGAGAGG